GCAAUGAACAAUGAAUUGCUUCCGCAGAUAUAUUACAAAUGUUUACUUUUACACAAUCAAAAAAAAAAUGCAACUGUAAUUGUGUCAGCAAACUAAUGAUGUGGCAUAGACAAGAGAAGAUUUUUUUGUGAUUGAAGCAACUUUAAGGACGACGCACUUUGAAGCCAUUCAUUUUGAUAUUAUUAAGCGUUAUAACGCCUGAAUUUUUUACUCAAUUUUGUGGUGUCAUGUCAUGGAGACCGUACAUUAUACAGAUACUCAACGCAUAUGCGAUUCAAGUGAUCGAUCCAUAUCUAGUUACCAUAAUUAUGAGUUUACUUGGAUUUGCAGCUAGAUCUUCGUUGCUGUUAAUUAUAAAAUUGGCGCUUUGGGAUAUAAUUUCUUUCCAUCUGGUUGGACAUCCAAUAGAUCGGCGAACGGCGUCUAUUUAGGCGGCGAUUUUAGUCAUAUCGCCUUGGGAUUGCUUUUGUUCAUGACAUUUUUUGUUUCCAUUGGUAUUACUACAAUUCCAGGAAUUUUGAUGGGUGAACUGUUUCCAUUCAAAUCACGGUCAAUGCUAUGCAGCAUCUCAACAGCCAAUCGCUACAUUGUGGCCGCAGUCUCUACAAAACUAUACUAUAACAUUGAAAGUUGGCUGUCAUUGUCGGGUGCUGCUGCAGUCUUACUGGUUUCAUUGUUAUGUACCUCAUUUUGCCAGAGACUGAAGGUCGACCACUGGAAGAUAUUGAACUACAUUUUUCCGAUAAUACGCUGCGCGUUUCACCGAUAUCAAAAUCAAGAAAAAUAUUCCUAUGAGACAAAGAAAUUAAUUUUAAAUACGACAUGUAUUGCCAAAAAAGAAAGCAUCUGCAAUGUAGUUUUAAAAAAAAGAAAUAACAUAAAGAUGAAUUUGCAUCGUCAUACAUAUUUCAUAUAAAAUUCGUUCGUUGAAAAUAAACUUUCACUAUGCUGUCGUCACUAUAAUGCUGUUUCGACGUGCACAUGCUCACACGCACAGUUUUUAUGUCAAUCGGAACGAUAUAUUUGUA